rnacentral:rRNA from 1 species
GCUGAAGAAGGUUCUAAGGGUUGGGCUGUUCGCCCAUUAAAGUGGUACGUGAGCUGGGUUUAGAACGUCGUGAGACAGUUUGGUCCCUAUCUACUGUGUACAUCGAAAAUCAAGGAAAUUAUUCUUCAGUACGAGAGGACCGAGAAAUGCAAACCUAUUGUGUAUCGGUUGUUUUUUAAGCAGCGCCGAGUAGCUACGUUUGUAAUAGAUAAUCACUGAAAGCAUAUAAGUGAGAAGCCAAUUCCAAGAUAAAUUUUCUAAAAGCCGUAAUAGACUAUUACGUUGAUAGGCUUUUUGUGUAAGGGUAGUAAUACUUGAAGCUAAAAAGUACUAAUUUGCUU